rnacentral:rRNA from 1 species
AGCAGUAGCCGCGGGAAUACGGAGGGUGCAAGCGUUAAUCGGAAUUACUGGGCGUAAAGCGCACGCAGGCGGUCUGACAAGUCAGAUGUGAAAUCCCCGGGCUUAACCUGGGAACUGCAUUUGAAACUGUCAGGCUGGAGUCUUGUAGAGGGGGGUAGAAUUCCAGGUGUAGCGGUGAAAUGCGUAGAGAUCUGGAGGAAUACCGGUGGCGAAGGCGGCCCCCUGGACAAAGACUGACGCUCAGGUGCGAAAGCGUGGGGAGCAAACAGGAUUAGAUACCCGAGUAGUCCCUGUCUCUUAUAC